rnacentral:rRNA from 1 species
UACGGAGGGAGCUAGCGUUGUUCGGAAUUACUGGGCGUAAAGCGCGCGUAGGCGGCUUUGUAAGUUAGAGGUGAAAGCCCGGGGCUCAACCCGGAAUUGCCUUUAAGACUGCAUCGCUAGAAUCCGGGAGAGGUGAGUGGAAUUCCGAAGUGUAGAGGUGAAAUUCGAUAGAUAUUCGCAAGAACACCAGUGGCGAAGGCGGACUCACUGGCCCGGUAC